rnacentral:rRNA from 1 species
ACCUGUGUUCCACGCUGUCGGUUCGCCGCCCGUCGGUGUCAACUGGCAUGUCCUGUGGAACGUCCUGCCGGUGGCGGUCCGGGCUUUCGGCUUGCGUAAGGGCUCACGCCCGAAGCAGGCCGAACAGUACCGGCCGCCGGUCCAAUCCCGCCACGGUGCUCUUCACCGAGUGUCGAGGUGGGCCGGCACGUUUACUUUGAACAAAUUAGAGUGCUUAAAGCAGGCUGGUGUCCGCCUGAAUACUGUGUGCAUGGAAUAAUAGAAUAGGACCUCGGUUCUAUUUUGUUGGUUUUCGGAACCCGAGGUAAUGAUUAAUAGGGACAGGCGGGGGCAUUCGUAUUGCGACGUUAGAGGUGAAAUUCUUGGAUCGUCGCAAGACGAACCUAAGCGAAAGCAUUUGCCAAGUAUGUUCUCGUUAAUCAAGAACGAAAGUUAGAGGUUCGAAGGCGAUCAGAUACCGCCCUAGUUCUAACCAUAAACGAUGCCAGCCAGCGAUCCGCCGAAGUUCCUCCGAUGACUCGGCGGGCAGCUUCCGGGAAACCAAAGCUUUUGGGUUCCGGGGGAAGUAUGGUUGCAAAGCUGAAACUUAAAGGAAUUGACGGAAGGGCACCACCAGGAGUGGAGCCUGCGGCUUAAUUUGACUCAACACGGGAAACCUCACCAGGCCCGGACACCGGAAGGAUUGACAGAUUGAGAGCUCUUUCUUGAUUCGGUGGGUGGUGGUGCAUGGCCGUUCUUAGUUGGUGGAGCGAUUUGUCUGGUUAAUUCCGAUAACGAACGAGACUCUAGCCUGCUAACUAGGCGAUUCCGGUACCCACAAUAGUGUUACCGGCGAUUCAAUUUCUUCUUAGAGGGACAGGCGGCUCCUAGCCGCACGAGACUGAGCAAUAACAGGUCUGUGAUGCCCUUAGAUGUCCUGGGCCGCACGCGCGCUACACUGAAGGAAUCAGCGUGUCUUCCCUGGCCGACAGGCCCGGGUAACCCGUUGAACCUCCUUCGUGCUAGGGAUUGGGGCUUGCAAUUGUUCCCCAUGAACGAGGAAUUCCCAGUAAGCGCGAGUCAUAAGCUCGCGUUGAUUACGUCCCUGCCCUUUGUACACACCGCCCGUCGCUACUACCGAUUGAAUGAUUUAGUGAGGUCUUCGGACUGGUGCGCGGCGAUCGGCUUUUACUGCCGGCCGCCGAUGUUGCCGGAAAGAUGACCAAACUUGAUCAUUUAGAGGAAGUAAAAGUCGUAACAA